CAUUGAUCAAGAACGAAGGAAGGGGGAUCGAAAACGAUUAGAUACCGUUGUAGUCUCUUCUGUAAACUAUGCCAAUUGGGGAUCGGUACAGGAUUUUUAAUGACUGUAUCGGCACCCGAAGAGAAAUCUUUAAAUGAGGUUCGGGGGGGAGUAUGGUCGCAAGGCUGAAACUUAAAGGAAUUGACGGAAGGGCACCACCAGGUGUGGAGCCUGCGGCUUAAUUUGACUCAACACGGGGAAACUCACCAGGUCCAGACACAAUAAGGAUUGACAGAUUGAUAGCUCUUUCUUGAUCUUGUGGUUGGUGGUGCAUGGCCGUUCUUAGUUGGUGGAGUGAUUUGUCUGGUUAAUUCCGAUAACGAACGAGACCUUAACCUGCUAAAUAGACCAGCCGGCUUUGGCUAGCUGCUGUCUUCUUAGAGGGACUAUCAGCGUUUAGCUGAUGGAAGUUUGAGGCAAUAACAGGUCUGUGAUGCCC
rnacentral:rRNA from 1 species